AAAAUCGAGCUUGAAGCAAGAUUGAAGUAUCAAUUCAAUCAAAACACCCAACAAAGAGGUAAAAUGACUUUCAUUUGUUAAGUUCAUGAAAAUUAAGAUGAACAAUGCUCCGUAAUUGUGAUUGUUGUGGGAAGAUUGUGUUAUGGAUAGAACCAAAAGGGUUAUAGGGUAAUAAGGAGGGAGUACUAUGAAUUUUUUGGUUAGAACCCUCCUAAAAGCUUAUGAAAUUCUGGGUUUUGGUCUUUGCACAUUGGAUGUUUGAUAAAACACCUCAAAGAGGUUAUUAUGCUAAAAAAUGAGAAUUAGCCAAUGUUCUGGGCUAGGAAGUGUUCAUAUAAGAGUUAUAAGAUAACCUAAGCCAUUUGGAUGCUUCAAAUCAAGUCCAAAGUGAGUUUGGAAAAAUUUCUAUCCAAAUGUGUUCAACCAAAAUCUGUGAAAAACAACGUACUUUGAGCCUCUGUAAAGGUAUCUUGAGAACAAUUUUUAGUCAUGUGGUAUUUUUCUAAAAUACUAUAUAGUAUAGUCUAGAACAUAUCAAAAUUUGAAAUCAAUCCAAGUUGUGGAUUGAGAGUUAUAAAAUUUCAAAUGUGACCAAGAAGCUAACAAAAUUUGCAGAAAUUGGGC
rnacentral:lncRNA from 1 species